GUGAUAAUAGUAUACAUAAUUAAUAUUGGAAUGAUACAGAGAAGAUUAGUAUGGCCUUUUUGCAAGGAUGACAUGCAAAUUCAUGAAGUAUUCCAUACAGGA